rnacentral:rRNA from 1 species
UACGGAGGGAGCAAGCGUUACUCGGAAUUAUUGGGCGUAAAGGGCGCGUAGGCGAUCUGACAAGUCUGGUGUGAAAGCCCACAUGUUAACUGUGGAAGUGCAUUAGAAACUGUUGGAUUUGAGUUCAGGAGAGGAAGGCAGAAUUCCCGGUGUAGCGGUGAAAUGCGUAGAGAUCGGGAGGAAUACCAGUGGCGAAGGCGGCCUUCUGGACUGACACUGACGCUGAGGCGCGAAAAGCGUGGGGAGCGAACAGG